UCGGAUAUGGUGUAACGGCUAACAUUUGGCGCUUUCAUGGACGUCCAUGACUAGCACCGCCAGGCUCCGGGUUCGAUUCCCGGUAUCCGAA